rnacentral:rRNA from 1 species
GGAACGCUAGCUACAGGCUUAACACAUGCAAGUCCAUGGGCAGCAUGGUCUUAGCUUGCUAAGGCCGAUGGCGACCGGCGCACGGGUGAGUAACACGUAUCCAACCUGCCGUCUACUCUUGGACAGCCUUCUGAAAGGAAGAUUAAUACAAGAUGGCAUCAUGAGUCCGCAUGUUCACAUGAUUAAAGGUAUUCCGGUAGACGAUGGGGAUGCGUUCCAUUAGAUAGUAGGCGGGGUAACGGCCCACCUAGUCUUCGAUGGAUAGGGGUUCUGAGAGGAAGGUCCCCCACAUUGGAACUGAGACACGGUCCAAACUCCUACGGGAGGCAGCAGUGAGGAAUAUUGGUCAAUGGGCGAGAGCCUGAACCAGCCAAGUAGCGUGAAGGAUGACUGCCCUAUGGGUUGUAAACUUCUUUUAUAAAGGAAUAAAGUCGGGUAUGGAUACCCGUUUGCAUGUACUUUAUGAAUAAGGAUCGGCUAACUCCGUGCCAGCAGCCGCGGUAAUACGGAGGAUCCGAGCGUUAUCCGGAUUUAUUGGGUUUAAAGGGAGCGUAGAUGGAUGUUUAAGUCAGUUGUGAAAGUUUGCGGCUCAACCGUAAAAUUGCAGUUGAUACUGGAUAUCUUGAGUGCAGUUGAGGCAGGCGGAAUUCGUGGUGUAGCGGUGAAAUGCUUAGAUAUCACGAAGAACUCCGAUUGCGAAGGCAGCCUGCUAAGCUGCAACUGACAUUGAGGCUCGAAAGUGUGGGUAUCAAACAGGAUUAGAUACCCUGGUAGUCCACACGGUAAACGAUGAAUACUCGCUGUUUGCGAUAUACUGCAAGCGGCCAAGCGAAAGCGUUAAGUAUUCCACCUGGGGAGUACGCCGGCAACGGUGAAACUCAAAGGAAUUGACGGGGGCCCGCACAAGCGGAGGAACAUGUGGUUUAAUUCGAUGAUACGCGAGGAACCUUACCCGGGCUUAAAUUGCAGAUGAAUUACGGUGAAAGCCGUAAGCCGCAAGGCAUCUGUGAAGGUGCUGCAUGGUUGUCGUCAGCUCGUGCCGUGAGGUGUCGGCUUAAGUGCCAUAACGAGCGCAACCCUUGUUGUCAGUUACUAACAGGUUCCGCUGAGGACUCUGACAAGACUGCCAUCGUAAGAUGUGAGGAAGGUGGGGAUGACGUCAAAUCAGCACGGCCCUUACGUCCGGGGCUACACACGUGUUACAAUGGGGGGUACAGAGGGCCGCUACCACGCGAGUGGAUGCCAAUCCCCAAAACCUCUCUCAGUUCGGACUGGAGUCUGCAACCCGACUCCACGAAGCUGGAUUCGCUAGUAAUCGCGCAUCAGCCACGGCGCGGUGAAUACGUUCCCGGGCCUUGUACACACCGCCCGUCAAGCCAUGGGAGCCGGGGGUACCUGAAGUGCGUAACCGCGAGGAGCGCCCUAGGGU